rnacentral:rRNA from 1 species
AUUGAACGCUAGCGGGAUGCUUUACACAUGCAAGUCGAACGAGUGGCGGACGGGUGAGUAAUAUAUCGGAACGUGCCCAGUAGAGGGGGAUAACUACUCGAAAGAGUGGCUAAUCCCGCAUACUAUUGGAGCGGCCGAUAUCGGAUUAGCUAGUUGGUGGGGUAAAGGCUCACCAAGGCAACGAUCCGUAGCUGGUUUGAGAGGACGACGAGCCACACUGGGACUGAGACACGGCCCAGACUCCGACCAAGUGCAUCAGGUAUUAAUUUUGGACAAUGGGGGAAAACCUGAUCCAGCCAUCCCGCGUGUAUGAGAAGGCCUUCGGGUUGUAAAGUACUUUUGGCAGAGAAGCGGUAUCUGCAGAAUAAGCACCGGCUAACUACGUGCCAGCAGCCGCGGUAAUAC